CGUAGAGUUGGCAACGCUGUGUGGGUCACCUCACUUCACCCGCCGGUGGACGUAUUUUUAUCAUCGUGUUAUUUUUCAUUAUGACAAAGUGAUUUUUCAAAUUAUUGACCUUACAUACUGCAAUUUAUUAUGAUAUAGCUAAAUCGCCUAAAAUUAUUUGACGUGUUUAAUGAAGCAGAAAUGGUGGCUGCGAUUGAUACUUCUAGAAAAAAUAUUUUAUGUGGUUGCAUAAACUCAUAAAGAGCGGGUGAAAAUUUUCCUGCAACACCGCGUGUUGAUAAGGAGAGUGCAAUCAAAAUUAAAUUAGCUAAUCAAAAGACUUCAAUCAGAAAUGAUACACAUUCGCAUUAGAUCCUUUUUCAUGAGCGAAUGUAUUCAACUUGGAUCCUACUUAUGAAGGUUUGCCAUGUGCCAACAGCAAAACAGAUUGCGCAUUACUCAUAAUAUCGCAAUAUAGACCCAAAGUGUUCAAGAAGAUGGUUGACAUUAUCGGGGGCGGAAGUUAAGGAGUACCUACUAGCCGUUACAGACUACGGUGAACGAGUGAGCAGCACCCUCCGCAGCCCACAACGAUCACGUGCUAAACGCGCUAAG